rnacentral:lncRNA from 1 species
AUGCUGUUCUUGAGCUCUGAGCUUCCAGUUCAGCAGUGCUUAACACUUCCAGCUUGUACUCCACUGUUCCUGGUUUCUGCAAUACGGAAGCUUUUACAUGUAUGUCAUAAAGGAAUCUCAAGGAUUCUGGAAAAGAUUCAUGCCUCAUACAGAUGUAACUUUAACUUCCCAUAUAAAAAGCAAGUGAUAUGUAAAGCAUAUAAUCCUGCAACUCUAUCCAUUCAAGGACUUCAAGAAGAUGAACUUGGGAAGGGACAUCAACACAGAAGUGGAUUUAUGACUAUGGUCUGUGCAGCAUUGCAGGAAAGAGCUACUAAAUGAGAGAAACACUAAAGGCAGCAGCAAAACAAUCUCUGUGAAUCAUGGUUAUAUCAUUUCUUCAUUAUGAAGAAAUGAAACAUCUUUAUUUUCCUAAUAGUUUUUAUAUCUUCAGCUGCUCUGAUCUUGUAGUUUCUGGGAUAUGAGGGAGGCAAAAUCAAAGCGUUUUUCUUUCUCUCUCCAUGGUAGCAACAUCCUUUUUUUUUUUUUUUUUUUUUUUUUCUACAGAAUAGGUAACACUGUGAAGCAUUUGUAGAGUUCUUCCUCCAAAUGAUUUUUCCUUGCUACAGUAUUCAGAGGUGCUCUGCUAUCCUUCCUACCCUGCCUCCAGCACUGCCCAACAAAUGACAGCUUUUAUCAGUGCUAAACUCUUGAUAUGAAUCCUACUAUCUUCAGGAUAAUUUUUUUCUUGCCCUACUACAGAAAUCAGCUUAUGCCCUGAAGCAUGAAUCUUGAUGACUUGCCACAUUAAUAUGAGUAACUAUUUUAAAAUAUGUAUUAUAGGGUAUUAAAUUAUCAGCCCUUUCCGGUAAGCACAACUGUGGUCUGUAAGACUGACCUCUUUUUGCUGUGAGCAGCGUGUGCUGACUACAGGCACUGUGGAAAUAUCAUCUCUGCUUCCCUGCCAAUGCUCAAGUGAUGAUGUGCUCUCUUGUUAUGAGGCAGCAUAAAAUUUAGAGGCUAGUCACGAUGGAGGUGGCAAAAAAGAAACUUAAAGACCUCAGUAAAUUUCCCUUUUAAGUGUUCCCUUUUCAAAGGUAAAUGGUCUUAUUCUUUGUAAUCUCUCAUUGUAUGUUAACAGCUUUCACAAUGCUGACUCUUUUGUAAGAAAAGCUCAUUACAGUCCCAAUGCUUUAUCUCUGUUAAAGGAGCCAAAGGAGGAAGAAGCCAAUACAUUUUUUUCUAUUUUUCUUUAGACUACACCACCUACUCAGCACAUAUGUACUGUAAAUUCAAGAUGUGGAUGUUACUCAAAGCAAGUGUGAUGUCACAAGUGUCUUAAUAGUUCUUGAUUUAUUUCCCUAAGUGCUUUAUUAAGA